GUGGGGAAUCUUAGACAAUGGGCGCAAGCCUGAUCUAGCCAUGCCGCGUGAGCGAUGAAGGCCUUAGGGUUGUAAAGCUCUUUCGCUGGGGAAGAUAAUGACUGUACCCAGUAAAGAAGCCCCGGCUAACUCCGUACCAGCAGCCGCGGUAAUACGGAGGGGGCUAGCGUUGUUCGGAAUUACUGGGCGUAAAGCGCGCGUAGGCGGAUUGGAAAGUUGGGGGUGAAAUCCCGGGGCUCAACCUCGGAACUGCCUUCAAAACUCCCAGUCUUGAGUUCGAGAGAGGUGAGUGGAAUUCCGAGUGUAGAGGUGAAAUUCGUAGAUAUUCGGAGGAACACCAGUGGCGAAGGCGGCUCACUGGCUCGAUACUGACGCUGAGGUGCGAAAGCGUGGGGAGCAAACAGGAUUAGAAACCCGUGUAGUCC
rnacentral:rRNA from 1 species